GAUGAACGCUAGCGGCAGGCCUAACACAUGCAAGUCGAGGGGUAGAAGGAGCUUGCUCCUUUGAGACCGGCGCACGGGUGCGUAACGCGUAUGCAAUCUACCUUAUACAGGGGAAUAGCCCAGAGAAAUUUGGAUUAAUGCCCCAUGGUAUUACGAAAUCGCAUGGUUUAGUAAUUAAAGUUCCAACGGUAUAAGAUGAGCAUGCGUCCCAUUAGUUAGUUGGUAAGGUAACGGCUUACCAAGACGAUGAUGGGUAGGGGUCCUGAGAGGGAGAUCCCCCACACUGGUACUGAGACACGGACCAGACUCCUACGGGAGGCAGCAGUGAGGAAUAUUGGUCAAUGGACGCAAGUCUGAACCAGCCAUGCCGCGUGCAGGAAGAAGCAUCUACGGUGUGUAAACUGCUUUUAUACAGGAAGAAACAUCCCGACGUGUCGGGACUUGACGGUACUGUAAGAAUAAGGACCGGCUAACUCCGUGCCAGCAGCCGCGUAAAGUCAGUG
rnacentral:rRNA from 1 species